rnacentral:rRNA from 1 species
AGAACGAACGCUGGCGGCAGGCCUAACACAUGCAAGUCGAGCGCUGUAGCAAUACAGAGCGGCGCACGGGUGAGUAACACGUGGGAACGUGCCUUUCGGUUCGGAAUAACUCAGGGAAACUUGUGCUAAUACCGGAUACGCCCCUUGGGGGAAAGAUUUAUCGCCGAUUGAGCGGCCCGCGUCCGAUUAGCUAGUUGGUGAGGUAAAAGCUCACCAAGGCAACGAUCGGUAGCUGGUUUGAGAGAACGAUCAGCCACACUGGGACUGAGACACGGCCCAGACUCCUACGGGAGGCAGCAGUGGGGAAUCUUGGACAAUGGGGGAAACCCUGAUCCAGCCAUGCCGCGUGAGUGAUGAAGGCCCUAGGGUUGUAAAACUCUUUCGCACGCGACGAUAAUGACGGUAGCGUGAGAAGAAGCUCCGGCUAACUUCGUGCCAGCAGCCGC